UUCUUUCUAUUUCGAACUAUUUAGAUCACAAGAACGUGCUAUGUUUCUUCAAAAAUAGAUUUGGAAUUGUGUAUGAUAUGGUACAACACCACACACCACUAUAGCAUUCUUGGUGUUGUGUAUAUCUUUUAAAAUAAUUUAGGGUGUUUUUGUGACCAAUAAUAGCAGAAUUAGAAGAGAAGGCAGAUCCUCCAAUAAUGGUGAAUGCCUAAAAAUUUUUCUGAUUGAUUAUCCAAUCGCCAUUUUUGAACAAGCGCGGGAAGAUUUGAAAAAGAACCCUUCAAAACUUGUAGGGUUCUAAAACCAAUCGCCACAGAGUUCAUAAUCCUUUUUGUUGUGACCUUCAAACAAAUUCAUACAAAUCCAUGUUUGCUCCAUCAAUUUUUCAUCAUUCACAUGAUCCAGAUGAAUCCGAAUCAAAAGUUUCAGCUCAUGGGUAUGGCUGAAGAUCGGACCAUGGCCCGUUUUUACUCUAUGACAAUGAAAUCGGACCCUUAUGCCCUAAAUUUUCAGAGUAUUGAUGGAAUAAGCUCACCUAACAACGAAGGGAGCAAGCUUAUCUGGAAAUGCAUUGAAUAAUGCGAAUUAACGCCACUGGCAGUUGCACAUGUUGCUUCUGCAAUCCACUCUCUCGUCGAGCGUGAAAUUGUUACAUCAUUAAACAGAGCUUCUUCAGCGAGGGAAAAAAAACUGGGUGGGAGGUUUAGGUGAAAAGGAGACGAACGUGACAGCCAACAAACGCCGUAUAGAGCUUUGUUUUUUUUGCUAAGAUCGAGGCCAAUAAGUCUUGUGCACCAGCUGUUUGAUGAAUUGUCUCAACCAAGUGAAUUUCAAUGGAUUAAUAAAAACAAGUGUUGGGUUCAUUUCUGAACACACCACAAAUAACAUUUGGUUGGUUCAGUCCAAAAUUAUGAGUCCAUUCUUUUUUCAAUGGAAGAUAUUAAAUUAGAUUAGUUUGGUGUUACAAUUACAGUUGCCCACCAUCACACCUUCGGUCCUUUAUUCAUAACUUAUACAGUAUUAAAUUGGUCAUAACUCACCUCCUCCCUUCCCUUGCCUUUUUGGGUGCUAUUAUGGAAAAGUCCAAUAGUGACAGCUUCUCUAACUGUAAGAAGAAACUUCCGAGAAGAUUUAGAUGGAGCCACCUAUGAUGCUCCCUCCUCCAACUAAGAACACAUGUCUCUAUUAAAAGCCUUCUAGUCUAAGUCCUUUUUCUCUCAGUUUAGAUUACUUCCCCCCCCCAAAUUAUUAAUGUCAUAUCUCAUGAGAACAAUCUAAAAGCUCUAAACAUAAAACUCAUUAUCUGGGAUGCCUAGGGAAAUACAUUAUUAUAGUUAUAAUAAUAGGACUCUAUAAGCAGUUAAAACAAAAAGUUAAGCCAUGCUCAUAAUAGGCAUCGACCAAUUUGGUAGAGGAGCCGGAUACAGUUCAACCAUUUAUUGAUAAUAACAUGAAACAUCUCAGUCCCCACUGACAUAAAUGGGCCAGCAAGUUCUCUCUAUCGCAACCAGUUAUGGCGGAAAAACCCCUCUGAAAAUUUCAUCAUAAAAGUUUGUUUCUUUGUUAUUUAAAUACUUAUUUAUUUUUACUGAGUCUUUUGUAAUUUUUUUUAUUCUCGUGAGAGACUUGGGACAAUACAUAGCAGCUUCAAGGUGAAAUUGGAAGAGCUUACCAUGAUCUAUGGUCUUUUUUUUUUUUCUCUAGACUAAUUUGAUAUGAUUAAUUUUAGUGGGAGGGUUUAUAUCUUAGAAGCAAAUCUGAAUAAACAUGGCCUUUUUAUUUUACCGUUUUUGUAUGACUAAAUGUAUUUGAAGUUAGAAGAAAAUAAAUAUUAUAACAUAACAUUGUCAAUUUGAGCACCGAUCAAUUAGGAAAAACUUUCAUUAUCGAUGAAGAGGUCAAAAGUUUAAAUCUCCAUCUUCACCCUUCCAUAUUGUUAAACUGAAAGAAAAAAAAAGUGAGAUUACAUUAUAACUACUCUCCAAGUGAAAUUUGCUCGACCACUCCUAAUUAUGGAGUCUUGUUUUUUUGUUUUAGCAACAUUUAAGCCCGAAUUUAGUUUUUAAAUAAAGUAAUCAGUUAGAUAUGGAAAGACGGCCUGGUGGGGUUGGAUUCACAAAGUUGUUUAUCUAUUGAUAAAUCGACUUGUUAACAUUCAAGGUCCCUGAAAUUUAGUAGUAUGAGCUUUGAAACCUCGCUGAUGUAAAAAGAUAGAGAAAGUAGCCAUUCAAUAGGCAUUUGAGUUAAGAAAAUUGAUUUAUUUGGGCUUCUCUGUCUGAGAUAGGAGAGCCGAAAUCCCAUUUUUUAACCUCAGGGCCUACAACAACCUUGACGAGACGCAGCCCGAAGUUUUGGGCUUCUAAUAAGAACCUGGUAAAGUCAUUAUGAGGACAAGGCUACUACGGUAAAGUAAUUGUGAUUCUUUUUCAUGCUUCUUAUAGGUGUGGUGUAAACGGCAUCAUUCUUUCCCGGAUUUUAGUCUUUCUUACUUGCAUUCCAUUUGGAAAGUUUUCAUGUAAUCCACCAAUAGGCUUUUGGAGCUAUUGCUCCUAGGCCUAUUAUUUCAUUCAUCAAUGUGAUUCGUUUCUCUUCUGAAAAAAAACAAGACUACUGCUACCACUGCCAGGAAUCUAUCUCCAGCCUCUACAGUUACAAGAUAUUACUUUGCAAACUGCUCUCUAUCUCGGUUUUAUAUCGUUUCAUUUCUGGUUUGUGGUGGAUGUUCUAGAUAUCUUCAAGAUUUCUUUACCCAUAAACGUGAUACUUUUAUGCACACCUGUUCAAGUUCAAUUUUAUAGGUGGCAGUUAAUGGCAUGAGAAAAGUUAAAGAUAGGACAAUUUGGGUAGAAAGGAAACUCUGGAAAAUUUACUGAAGUAAGGAUGUUGACCCGUCGACUAGAAGUGAAAAGGUCCCCAAGUGCCUUUUCAUAGGAAACGCAUGGCUUCUAUUUCUUUUUCCUUUCUUUUUUUGCCCCUUCUUAGCCCUCGUGCAUUUUGUGAUUACAAUAUUGAGGAAGAAAUUGGAGGAUGGAAGACUGAUUAAUUAAUGACAACGAAAGAAACAGAGGUGCGAUGAAGAUAAUUGGAGGGGGCGGAGGAAAUUGCAGUUUCAAAUAACUUCCUUCCGUUUCAAUGAAACGUCAUUGCAAACUUUUUUUUUUUUUUGAGAGGAUUGCAAACUUGUUUUUUCCCUACAUUGAAAUCACGAGUGCAUGUCUAAAUAUGCUUCAUACGGGGACGUGCUGUUUUUGUGUUGUUCAAAGAAGUUUUAAGUCUGACGUAAAGGCGCAUUCUUAGGAUACCGUUGUUCAAGUUUUCCAAAUAGCCUGAUCUUUUGGAUUGAUUAGCAUGGUGGUUUUAUCUUAAUGUUCCAUGCUGCCCGGAUAUAUUCCUCCUCCACUUAUUGGUUGCAAAUUUAACCUUCUUACAAAAGAACCUUGUUGCUGAAUUUUAUAUAGGUUCACAGUGGGCUUGGGUACUCAGUCGCCCUCAUAAUGAGACAAGACAUCACAAAAGUCUGAGCCUGGUUACUUGGAAACAAAAUGAAGUGGGAAACAAUCUUGGUCCACAUUUGCUGACUUAAACCCCACAAAUAAAUCCCAGUCAAAAUGCUUACUUUAAUAAAGAAAUUUACCAUUUUCUACAUAGGAAAAUGAUACGUAUAAUUCCAGUUUCAAGCCUUGUCAAAGAGAACAAAAUAAAUAAUCAUUAAAAGUACUAAUUUCUUUGAAUAUCUGAAUGAUCAUGUGUAUCAGCAAUUGGAAUUAAUCAUUAAUUUUGUCCUUAUAAUUGGUGGAUCAAAUUAGCCUAAUCAUAUCCAUGUUUGCAUCUUUCCGUCGCUUCAAAUUCAUUGAGGUUGUUACAAACAACCAUUAUAAUUAUUUCACGUGAACAACCUCUCUUAAAAUUGACUAUAUCAAUAUAUAUUGCAGUGGAGUAAGCUAUCAUAAAAUAUUUUUUGUUACCGCCAGUUAACUGAGGUUGUCAAAAAUGAAUUAUGUACAUGAUGAAUUCUGUUUUGUUUUAUCAGGAUUGGCACUCACAAAUACUGAAGAUUGAGUUUCCUAAUAGAAGCCGAAUAACCGAAAUUCUUGUGAUGACGUUUAUCGAGUUAACAGAGAGCAUCCUUUUGUGAAAAUUAGAACAAUAAUACCCAUGGUUUAGAGUCUUCUGCUGUCAUUAUCUUUAUAAUCUUUAGAUCUGCAUAACAGCAAACUAGUAAAGAGAAUAAUUAUAGGUUACCUAUCUUUAUAGCCCGAAAGUCAGGGUCAAGCAGUUUGUGGAGGGUAUAGAUUGGAACCCUAUCUCGGGUAGGGAGGAUGAGGAAUUUAGUGGUUCUGUUUACCUUGGAUGAGAUUGAAAAAGCUGUUUUCAACUGCGAUAGGAAGAAAUCUCCAAGCGCUGAUGGCUUCUCUAUGGCUUUCUUUCAGGAGUCGGGACAAUUGAAAUCUUAUCAAAAGAGAUUUGGAGGGUGUGCUUAAGGAAUCUGUUGAAAGAGGAAAAGAGGAAUGUUGAAUAGUUCAUUGGUGAAAACCUUCAUUUACUUGAUUCCUAAAAAGGAUAAUGCUAACAGGGUUAAGGAAUUUCAGUCCAUUAGAUUCAUUACUUGUGUCUAAAAGAUUUUGGCUAAGGUUCUUGCUAAUCAGUUAAGGAAAGUGAUGUCGUCUACCAUUCUCUAGGCCCAGGGUGCCUCUGUGAUGGAGAGGCAAAUCCUGGAUCAAGCUCUUAUAUUUAAUGAAACCAUUGAGGUGUAUAGAUUGAGGAAAAAGGAAGGUGUGAUUCUAAAGCUCGAUUUUGAAAAAGUAUAUAACCAUGUGGAUUGGGUGUUGAUAAAAAAAGGUUUUGAUUAUAAAUGGAGGAUGUGGAUGUGGGGGUGUGUGAGGAAUGUGAAAUAUUCUAUCCUCAUCAAUGGAACCCUUAAAUGGUUGAUUCAAGCUACCAAAGGUUUAAGACCAGGGGAUCCUUUGUCUUCUUUCUUGUUCUUACUUGUGGUGGAUGUCUUAAGUCAAAUCAUUUAUAAGGUGGUGGAAGGAAACAUUAUUGAUCCUUUUUGGAUUCGAAGGAAUGAAGUCUCAUUAUCGCAUUGUCAAUUCGUGAAUGAAACAAUGUUAUUUUGUUCUGGAAAAGAGGAGUUCUUCAUCAUCCUUAACCAUAUGGUGGCUUUGUUUGAAGAUAUGUCUGGGCUAAAAAUCAAUAGGAGCAAAUGUACUAUUUUUGGAAUUAACACUGAUCAAGUUAAGUUGCAGAGGUGGACAAAGGUGUUUGAUUAUGAGAUUGACUCUUUACCUUCAUCAUAUCUUGGGCUUCCUUCGGGUCGAAGCCUAGAGCUUUGAAUUUUUGAGAAAAUUCGUAAGAGAUUGGUGGCGUGGAAGAAAGAGUUCUUCUCAAAAGCUCGCAGAUUAACCCUGAUUAGAUCGGUGCUGAGUGGAAUCCAUGUGUAUAAUUUAUCUCUUUUCAGGACCCUCAACUCAAUGUGUAAGAGCGUUGAAAAGUAUAUGAGAAAUUGUCAAUAAAUGAGAAAUUUUCUAUUGGAAGGGGUGAAGGAAGGUCAUGGAUCUCACUUGGUCAAUUGGGAAGCGGUGGGGCACCCUAUAAGUGAUGGGGGUUCAGAGAUCGGUAAUCUAAGAAUCUAAAACAGAGCUUUGUUGCCCAAGUGACUUCAGUGCUUUUCCCUUGAGUCCAAUUCUUUAUGGCAUAGGAUUAUUGUGAGUAACUAGUAAGGUGGCAACUAUCCUUUUGAAUGGAUGACGAAAGGGGUUAAAGGCACACAUCAUAAUCCUAUUCCUUGGAAGGAUAUCUCUUUCAAGCUUUCGACCUUUUUCUGAUUUACUCGUUGCUUUGUGGGGAUGGUAAGGAUACUUAUUGUUUGGAGGAUCAAUUGGUAGUGUUGUCUUCCAUUUGUUCUUUAUUUUCACGUCUUUAUCAUUUACCCUCUUCCAAGAACUCUAUGAUAUUGGAUCUUUUGGUUGGGUCAUGUCCUUUCUUUGGUUGAGGGAAGCAAUUUUAGGGAGGAAAGGAGGGAUGUUCGUGUUUAGAGUCCCAAUUCGAGUCAGAGAUAACGUGUAAAUCCUUUUUCAAUAUGUUGUUGGAUCCCUCCCUUCCUAGGGAGUUUGUUUUGAUGUGGUUUAUAGGAUCAAGGUUCCUAGGAAAGUCAGAUUUUUUAUUUGGCAAGUUUUGUUUGUGCUUGUUAGGAGGAGAACUUCGCUUGUUGGACCUUUUUGUUGCAUGCUUUGUCGGAAGGUGGAGGAAGCGUCUUAUCUCUUCUUUUUUAGAUUGCCAGUAUGCAUGAGGUGUGUGGAGAUUUUUUAACGAGAGUUUGCUGUUAGCUAUGCUGGCCAUCAGAGCAUUUGUACGAUGAUUGAGGAGUUCCUCCAUCUCCCUUCAAAGAGAAAAGGGGUUUUUUUAUUGCUUGCAGGGGUGUGUUGUGUUCUGUGGUAGGGAAAGGGACCAUAUUGAGGUUUGGUCUUUGAUUAGAUUUUACGUUUUUCUUUGGGCUUCAAUUUCAAAGAUCUUUUGUAAUUAUUCCACUAGUAACGUUUUACCAAUUUGGACCCCCUUCUUUUAUUCGGGGUGAUUGAUUGUAACUAUUCUACGGUAACAUUUUACUAAGUUGGAUCAUCGAUUGGACGAAUGAUUUUUUUAUGA